rnacentral:rRNA from 1 species
ACUUUCAACAACGGAUCUCUUGGUUCUGGCAUCGAUGAAGAACGCAGCGAUAUGCGAUAAGUAGUGUGAAUUGCAGAAUUCAGUGAAUCAUCGAAUCUUUGAACGCACAUUGCGCCCCUUGGUAUUCCAUGGGGCAUGCCUGUUCGAGCGUCA